AGCAGGUCGGCUCAUUGAUUUCGCUUUUAGCGAGGUAGGAAAGUCCGGGCAACAUAUAGCAGCUAUCCGGCUAACGGCCGGCUCUUAAUAAACGAAGAGGGAAAGUGCUACAGAAAAUAACCGUCGCGCCUUGGUGCGAUAAGGGUGAAAAUGUGGGGUAAGAGCCCACGGUCUUAUCUAGUAAUAUUUAAGACGAGUAAACCCAUAGCGUUGCAAUGCCAAAUAAACAGAAGCUUGAGGGUAGCUAGCCCAAUUUCUGUGGGUAGGCAGCUAGAGCUUAUUAGUAAUAAUAAGUCGAGAUAAAUAAUGAGCAUUCGCCUUUGGGCGUAUACAGAACCCGGCUUAUAGACCUGCACUUUUU
rnacentral:RNase_P_RNA from 1 species